GCGGGGGAAAUCCCAGACGGGAACCAGGGUUCCACAGAACCCUUUACGAUAUCUAGUAUUGCACCUGAAGAUAUCUGAAGAUUUAUUAUUAAUGUUCAUUUACGAAAUUUAGACACAAAAUAUGUAAUUUUUUUUUGGUUGCGUGCUUUACCCCACGGCUCUUUUUAAAUAUGUUAAAGUUACUGGUUUUGACAUUUUAUGUAAAUCCAAUUACCAUUAUAUUUCAAAUGAACAAAAUGGAUAAUUUAACAUAACUAAUAAACCAUUUAGAAUCUAAGUAUGUUGCUACUGAUGAGUUUUUAAUAACAGGAAUGGUAUCCAUUCUUGAUAACUCGUUGGCUUCCGGCGAUUUAGCUCCCUAAUUCUAACACACUGCCAGCAAUUGUUUGACAUGGACCCGUUUGGGGUCCUCGGAUCCCUUGCCAAGGUUCGGGCGUACACGUAAAAAUGACAUAGCUACGCCACUGA
rnacentral:lncRNA from 1 species